rnacentral:rRNA from 1 species
GAUGAACGCUGGCGGCGUGCCUAAUACAUGCAAGUCGAGCGAACAGACGAGGAGCUUGCUCCUCUGACGUUAGCGGCGGACGGGUGAGUAACACGUGGAUAACCUCCCUAUAAGACUGGGAUAACUUCGGGAAACCGGAGCUAAUACCGGAUAAUAUAUUGAACCGCAUGGUUCAAUAGUGAAAGACGGUUUUGCUGUCACUUAUAGAUGGAUCCGCGCCGCAUUAGCUAGUUGGUAAGGUAACGGCUUACCAAGGCGACGAUGCGUAGCCGACCUGAGAGGGUGAUCGGCCACACUGGAACUGGGACACGGUCCAGACUCCUACGGGAGGCAGCAGUAGGGAAUCUUCCGCAAUGGGCGAAAGCCUGACGGAGCAACGCCGCGUGAGUGAUGAAGGUCUUCGGAUCGUAAAACUCUGUUAUUAGGGAAGAACAAAUGUGUAAGUAACUAUGCACGUCUUGACGGUACCUAAUCAGAAAGCCACGGCUAACUACGUG